rnacentral:rRNA from 1 species
UACGAAGGGGGCUAGCGUUGCUCGGAAUUACUGGGCGUAAAGCGCGCGCAGGCGGCUUCUAAGUCCGUCGGUGAAAGACCGGGGCUCAACCCCGUGUCAGCCAUGGAUACUGGGAGGCUGGAGACAGGUAGAGGCAAGCGGAAUUCCGGGUGUAGCGGUGGAAUGCGUAGAUAUCCGGAAGAACACCGGAGGCGAAGGCGGCUUGCUGGACCUGGUCUGACGCUGAGGCGCGAAAGCGUGGGGAGCGAACAGG